GACGAACGCUGGCGGCGUGCCUAAUACAUGCAAGUCGAACGCUGAAGGAGGAGCUUGCUUCUCUGGCUGAGUUGCGAACGGGUGAGUAACGCGUAGGCAACCUACCUGGUAGCGGGGGAUAACUAUUGGAAACGAUAGCUAAUACCGCAUAAGAGUAGAUGUCGCAUGACAUUUGCUUAAAAGGUGCAAUUGCAUCACUACCAGAUGGACCUGCGUUGUAUUAGCUAGGUGGUGAGGUAACGGCUCACCAAGGCAACGCUACAUAGCCGACCUGAGAGGGGGAUCGGCCACACUGGGACUGAGACACGGCCCAGACUCCUACGGGGGGCAGCAGUAGGGAAUCUUCGGCAAUGGACGGAAGUCUGACCGAGCAACGCCGCGUGAGUGAAGAAGGUUUUCGGAUCGUAAAGCUCUGUUGUAAGAGAAGAACGAGUGUGAGAGUGGAAAGUUCACACUGUGACGGUAUCUUACCAGAAAGGGACGGCUAACUACGUG
rnacentral:rRNA from 1 species